UAUAGGUAAUGUGCCCUAGAGAGGGGGAUAACAGUUGGAAACGACUGCUAAAACCCCAUAUGCCUUUAUCACAUAAGUGAGCAAGGGAAAUAUUUAUAGCUCUAGGAUCAGCCUGUACAGUAUCAGUUAGUUGGUGAGGUAAUGGCUCACCAAGACAAUGACGCUUAACUGGUUUGAGAGGAUGAUCAGUCACACUGGAACUGAGACACGGUCCAG
rnacentral:rRNA from 1 species